rnacentral:rRNA from 1 species
UACGUAGGGGGCAAGCGUUGUCCGGAUUUAUUGGGCGUAAGGAGCGUGUAGGCGGCCAGGUAGGUCUGCUGUGAAACCUCUGGGCUUAACUCAGAGCCUGCAGGCGAAACUGCCGUGCUGGAGUGUGGGAGAGGUGCGUGGAAUUCCCGGUGUAGCGGUGAAAUGCGUAGAUAUCGGGGAGGAACACCUGUGGCGAAAGCGGCGCACUGGACCACAACUGACGCUGAGGCGCGAAAGGCUAGGGGAGCAAACAGG